rnacentral:rRNA from 1 species
AACGAACGCUGGCGGCAGGCUUAACACAUGCAAGUCGAACGCCCCGCAAGGGGAGUGGCAGACGGGUGAGUAACGCGUGGGAAUCUACCCAGUUCUACGGAACAACAGAGGGAGACUUCUGCUAAUACCGUAUACGCCCUAAGGGGGAAAGAUUUAUCGGAAUUGGAUGAGCCCGCGUAAGAUUAGCUAGUUGGUGAGGUAAUGGCUCACCAAGGCGACGAUCUUUAGCUGGUCUGAGAGGAUGAUCAGCCACACUGGGACUGAGACACGGCCCAGACUCCUACGGGAGGCAGCAGUGGGGAAUAUUGGACAAUGGGCGCAAGCCUGAUCCAGCCAUGCCGCGUGAGUGAUGAAGGCCUUAGGGUUGUAAAGCUCUUUCAGUAGGGAAGAUAAUGACGGUACCUACAGAAGAAGCCCCGGCUAACUUCGUGCCAGCCGCCGCCGUAAUAC